rnacentral:rRNA from 1 species
GACGAACGCUGGCGGCGUGCUUAACACAUGCAAGUCGAACGGAAAGGCCCUGCUUUUGUGGGGUGCUCGAGUGGCGAACGGGUGAGUAACACGUGAGUAACCUGCCCUUGACUUUGGGAUAACUUCAGGAAACUGGGGCUAAUACCGGAUAGGAGCUCCUGCUGCAUGGUGGGGGUUGGAAAGUUUCGGCGGUUGGGGAUGGACUCGCGGCUUAUCAGCUUGUUGGUGGGGUAGUGGCUUACCAAGGCUUUGACGGGUAGCCGGCCUGAGAGGGUGACCGGCCACAUUGGGCCUGGGCUGCGGCCCAGACUCCUACGGGAGGCAGCAGUGGGGAAUAUUGCACUAUGGGCGGAAGCCUGAUGCAGCAACGCCGCGUGCGGGAUGACGGCCUUCGGGUUGUAAUCCGCUUUCGCCUGUGACGAAGCGUGAGUGACGGUAAUGGGUAAAGAAGCACCGGCUAACUACGUG